rnacentral:rRNA from 1 species
GAUGAACGCUGGCGGCGUGCCUAAUACAUGCAAGUCGAGCGAACGGACGAGAAGCUUGCUUCUCUGAUGUUAGCGGCGGACGGGUGAGUAACACGUGGAUAACCUACCUAUAAGACUGGGAUAACUUCGGGAAACCGGAGCUAAUACCGGAUAAUAUUUUGAACCGCAUGGUUCAAAAGUGAAAGACGGUCUUGCUGUCACUUAUAGAUGGAUCCGCGCUGCAUUAGCUAGUUGGUAAGGUAACGGCUUACCAAGGCGACGAUGCAUAGCCGACCUGAGAGGGUGAUCGGCCACACUGGAACUGAGACACGGUCCAGACUCCUACGGGAGGCAGCAGUAGGGAAUCUUCCGCAAUGGGCGAAAGCCUGACGGAGCAACGCCGCGUGAGUGAUGAAGGUCUUCGGAUCGUAAAACUCUGUUAUUAGGGAAGAACAUAUGUGUAAGUAACUGUGCACAUCUUGACGGUACCUAAUCAGAAAGCCACGGCUAACUACGUG